UACGUAGGGUGCGAGCGUUAAUCGGAAUUACUGGGCGUAAAGCGUGCGCAGGCGGUAAUGUAAGACAGAUGUGAAAUCCCCGGGCUUAACCUGGGACCUGCAUUUGUGACUGCAUUGCUGGAGUGCGGCAGAGGGGGAUGGAAUUCCGGCGUGUAGCAGUGAAAUGCGUAGAUAUGCGGAGGAACACCGAUGGCGAAGGCAAUCCCCUGGGCCUGCACUGACGCUCAUGCACGAAAGCGUGGGGAGCAAACAGG
rnacentral:rRNA from 1 species